UUUAUUGGAGAGUUUGAUCCUGGCUCAGGAUGAACGCUGGCGGCGUGCCUAAUACAUGCAAGUCGAGCGAAUGGAUUAAGAGCUUGCUCUUAUGAAGUUAGCGGCGGACGGGUGAGUAACACGUGGGUAACCUGCCCAUAAGACUGGGAUAACUCCGGGAAACCGGGGCUAAUACCGGAUAACAUUUUGAACUGCAUGGUUCGAAAUUGAAAGGCGGCUUCGGCUGUCACUUAUGGAUGGACCCGCGUCGCAUUAGCUAGUUGGUGAGGUAACGGCUCACCAAGGCAACGAUGCGUAGCCGACCUGAGAGGGUGAUCGGCCACACUGGGACUGAGACACGGCCCAGACUCCUACGGGAGGCAGCAGUAGGGAAUCUUCCGCAAUGGACGAAAGUCUGACGGAGCAACGCCGCGUGAGUGAYGAAGGCUUUCGGGUCGUAAAACUCUGUUGUUAGGGAAGAACAAGUGCUAGUUGAAUAAGYUGGCACCUUGACGGUACCUAACCAGAAAGCCACGGCUAACUACGUGCCAGCAGCCGCGGUAAUACGUAGGUGGCAAGCGUUAUCCGGAAUU
rnacentral:rRNA from 1 species